UAAGGAUUUGCUGAAAGGAGUUUUUAAAUGGAAGUGCAAGCGGGGAGAUGUGGGGAAGUCAAAGAACUAGGUAAAGAUAAGAAGGCUAAAUGAAAGUAUAAAUAUUUUUUAAAUUUUUCUGCUCCUUUUUCUUUGUUUUCUUUUUUUUUCUUUUUCCUUUCUUGUUAUUGUCAUUUCUGUUUGUUUUUUGUCAUGGUUAUUGUUGUUUUUUGUUUGUUGAAUUUUUGUAAUUCUGUAUUUUUUGGAAUUUUUCUUGUAAAACCAAUAAAUAU